rnacentral:rRNA from 1 species
GACGAACGCUGGCGGCGUGCUUAACACAUGCAAGUCGAACGGUGAAGGGGAGCUUGCUCCCCGGAUCAGUGGCGAACGGGUGAGUAACACGUGGGCAACCUGCCCCUGACUCUGGGAUAACGCUUCGAAAGAGGUGCUAAUACCGGAUACGAACUCCCUUGGCAUCUGGGGAGUUGGAAAGUUUUUCGGUCAGGGAUGGGCCCGCGGCCUAUCAGCUUGUUGGUGAGGUAACGGCUCACCAAGGCGACGACGGGUAGCCGGCCUGAGAGGGCGACCGGCCACACUGGGACUGAGACACGGCCCAGACUCCUACGGGAGGCAGCAGUGGGGAAUAUUGCGCAAUGGGCGAAAGCCUGACGCAGCAACGCCGCGUGAGGGAUGACGGCCUUCGGGUUGUAAACCUCUUUCAGCAGGGAAGAAGCGAAAGUGACGGUACCUGCAGAAGAAGCACGGGCUAAGUUCGUGCCAGCCGCCGCCGUAA